GGAGGGGUGGUCGAGCGGCUUAAGGCACCGGACUUCGAUUCCGGCGCCCGGUGCGUGAACACCGGGCCGAGGGUUCGAAUCCCUCCCCCUCCGCCA
rnacentral:tRNA from 1 species